rnacentral:rRNA from 1 species
UACGAAGGGUGCAAACGUUGCUCGGAAUCAUUGGGCGUAAAGCGCACGUAGGCGGCCUUGUAAGUCGGAUGUGAAAUCCCACGGCUCAACUGUGGAAGUGCAUCCGAAACUGCGGGGCUCGAGUAUGGAAGAGGGUCGCAGAAUUCCCGGUGUAGAGGUGAAAUUCGUAGAUAUCGGGAGGAAUACCAGUGGCGAAGGCGGCGACCUGGGCCAAUACUGACGCUGAGGUGCGAAAGCGUGGGGAGCAAACAGG